rnacentral:snRNA from 1 species
AGCUUUGCACAGCAGCAGUAUCAUAGCCAAUGAGGUUUAUCCAAGACAGGAUUAUUGCUAAUUGAAAACUGCUUUUCUUUUGUGC